AAUUUUUUAGCCGAUGUGACGUCGACAUUACACCCGUAUUUACUGCCUAUAGGUAGUACCUGUAGUUCAUUGCCGGAAAUAGACUAGGUAGGGGAGAGAGUUGGGCGGAAAUUUAUCCCCGGUAGUAAAAUAUUCCAGGCGUAUUCGAAUGUUUUCAUGUAUUAUUUAUUAUUACCCAAUGUGUUUAUUGAACCAGCCGACAGACGCGCACAUAAAGCCCUCAA